ACAAUGUUCCGCUGCAAAAGAAGCAAGAGCAUUUG
rfam:Jeotgalibacillus malaysiensis strain D5, complete genome.